CAUGAUUCAAUUGAAAUUAAGAAUGUCAGUCAAAAGGAUGUACGGAUAAUUGCUUCUGUCAUUGGCUGACGUAGGCACGUUCAACUAACGUCUCCAAACAAAACGUUUCUGCUGUCCGCCAUUUUCUCUCUUUCACCACUUCCAAAUCUAUUCGGUAGUUUGAAUUACCCUGCUGGAAUCUGAGCGCGAGGCCGGCAGGUGAGCUCAGUGUGACGGAGAAACCCACAGCCGCUGCACAGAGACACUCUCCUCUCUCCUCAGGAACAAACUGGUGCCUGCUCCACAGUUUGUCAUCAAGAAUUCCAACCAAACAAAAAGGGCUGUCAUUCUGAGGGGCCUGCCAUAUUUCCUCCGUGAAGAAACUCUGUGAGUUCCUCAGGACUGCAGAGCCCACAGACAUGGAGGACAGCAUGACGAGGGGAAUGAAUGUCGGCAUUGUCCUAGUAAAAGAAGGAGAGGAUCUUCUUGACAUUUCGGUGGUCCUGGAGGAACAGAUCAUUCUGCAUGGCAUCAAGGACUACUCGCAUGCGGUAGCUAUGUUAAUGGGUCUGCUAUAUGCACUGAACAUUGACUUCCAUUCAGAAGAUUCUCAUGAACAUCGGCGGUGAGCACUGCUCUGCAAGGGUUCAUGGACUGAGGAAUAGACUUCUUCGUAAAACUGUGUAGACACUACACUGAGACUGAGAGUUUUCUUUUCAGUUCUGUUCCACUAUUGUAAUGGUCACUGACAUUGUCAGUUGCAAGAAUUUAAGUUUAAUUUAAUUUAAGUUUGAGGUCUUUCCUGGAAAGUCUUUUUGACCCGUUUGGGUGUGCAUAAUUUUAUUUUAUAUUUUUUUCACAUUAUGAAAGACAGCGACAGAAGUAAUGAGUAGAGAGUACUCAUUUGUGCACAUUCUAAAGAGAUGUUUUACCCAUAAGCUUGUGUUGUUUUUGGGGACAAAACCUUUUGUACUUGAUGGGAUGUGUUGAUGUAUUUACCUUGCCGAUCUGGUUUAUUAAAGCUUUGAAGAAC